AACGAACGCUGGCGGCAGGCUUAACACAUGCAAGUCGAACGCCCCGCAAGGGGAGUGGCGCACGGGUGAGUAACGCGUGGAUAUCUGCCUUUUGGUUCGGAAUAACCCCGGGAAACUGGGGCUAGUACCGGAUGGUUCCUACGGGAUAAAGAUUUAUCGCCAAAAGAUGAGUCCGCGUACGAUUAGCUAGUUGGUGAGGUAAUGGCUCACCAAGGCGACGAUCGUUAGCUGGUCUGAGAGGACGAUCAGCCACACUGGGACUGAGACACGGCCCAGACUCCUACGGGAGGCAGCAGUGGGGAAUAUUGGACAAGGGGGGCAACCCUGACCCAGCCAGGGCGGGUGAGUGAGGGAGGCCUUCGGGUUGUAAAGCUCUUUUGGGGGGGACGAUGAUGGCGGUACCCGCAGAAUAAGCCGCGGCUAACUGCGU
rnacentral:rRNA from 1 species